rnacentral:rRNA from 1 species
CCAGCAGCCGCGGUAAUUCCAGCUCCAGUAGCGUAUAUUAAAGUUGUUGCAGUUAAAAAGCUCGUAGUUGGAUGUCUGGCGUGGUGGUUUUUGCGGCUUGGGAGUGGCCAUUGUGCCCUCUUUGUAGCCGGGCCGCCUGUCAUCUUUGGUGUGUGGGUGGUGUGGGUGGGUCGUUCGUUCGGCCUCCUACCCAUCUCCGCACACCUCGUUUACUUUGAAAAAAUUAGAGUGUUUAAAGCAGGCAGUAAUGCUUCUGAAUAUACUAGCAUGGAAUAAUAAGAUAGGACUUUGGUUUUAUUUUGUUGGUUCUUGGAAAGCUAAAGUAAUGAUUGAUAGGGACAGUUGGGGGUGCUAGUAUUGGCCGGCCAGAGGUGAAAUUCUUGGAUUCGGUCAAGACUAACUAAUGCGAAAGCAUUCACCAAGGAUGUCUUCUUUAAUCA